rnacentral:rRNA from 1 species
CUACGGGGCGCAGCAGUGAGGAAUAUUGCACAAUGGGGGGAACCCUGAUGCAGCAACGCCGCGUGGAGGAUGACGCAUUUCGGUGUGUAAACUCCUUUUAUAUGUCAAGAAAAUGACGGUAGCAUAUGAAUAAGCACCGGCUAACUCCGUGCCAGCAGCCGCGGUAAUACGGAGGGUGCAAGCGUUACUCGGAAUCACUGGGCGUAAAGGACGCGUAGGCGGGUUGGAAAGUCAGGUGUGAAAUCCUACAGCUUAACUGUAGAACUGCACUUGAAACUUCUAAUCUAGAGCAUGGGAAGGGGAGAUGGAAUUAGUGGUGUAGGGGUAAAAUCCGUAGAUAUCACUAGGAAUACCUAAAGCGAAGGCGAUCUCCUGGAACAUUACUGACGCUAAGGCGUGAAAGCGUGGGGAGCAAACAGGAUUAGAUACCCUAGUAGUC